GAGCACUUGGGGUUGAGAGCUUGGGCUGCUGCCCAGGCUGAGCUCCUCUCCCCAAUGGUUCCCAUCUCCCGUACAAACAUAUUUAUUGGGUUUGAUGGCAAACACAUUAUGCUUGUCCCAGGAAGGGCACUUCCAAAGAGAAAACCUUGAAGUCCGGGAAAUAAUGAUGGGGGAGUUAAAUUAAAGUGCGGAAAACCCUCCCGAGAGAUAACGUCAGGACCUCAGCAUGUGUUUGUCUAAUCAGGAGGUGAGAAGCGGCCACUGCCAUGGGAGCGUUCCCGUCGUCAGAGGAGUUUAACUGCACAAGGAACAGGCUGUAGCCACUUGAAACAUAAUCCCAUUGCGUUGAGAACUGGCCUGGGACUCCAUGAGUAACAACACUCCCUGGUGCUGUCUGCAUCUGGCAGAGGGGUUUGGUGGAAACAAACAUCCCUGCGUUAGCCCUCGUCCCCACUCCCUGCCUU